rnacentral:rRNA from 1 species
GGGAGGCAGCAGUAAGGAAUAUUGCGCAAUGGGCGAAAGCCUGACGCAGCAACGCCGCGUGGGGGAUGAAGGUUUUCGGAUUGUAAACCCCUUUCGACCGGAACGAAUCUCCUCCUGGUAAAUAAUCAGGAGGAUCGACGGUACCGGGAGAAGAAGCCACGGCUAACUCUGUGCCAGCAGCCGCGGUAAGACAGAGGUGGCAAGCGUUGUUCGGAUUUAUUGGGCGUAAAGCGAACGCAGGUGGUUUGGUAAGUCAGGGGUGAAAGUCCACAGCUUAACUGUGGCACUGCCUUUGAUACUGCCUUUCUUGAGUGCAUGAGGGGGAAGCGGAAUUCCGAGUGUAGAGGUGAAAUUCGUAGAUACUCGGAGGAACACCGGUGGCGAAGGCGGCUUCCUGGCAUGUAACUGACACUCAUGUUCGAAAGCGUGGGUAGCAAACAGGAUUAGAUACCCUUGUAGUCCC